rnacentral:rRNA from 1 species
UGCGUAGGCGGCGCGGAAAGUUGGGUGUGAAAUCCCUCGGCUCAACCGAGGAACUGCGCCCAAUACUGCCGUGCUCGAGGGAGAUAGAGGUGAGCGGAACUUAGGGUGGAGCGGUGAAAUGCGUUGAUAUCCUAAGGAACACCGGUGGCGAAAGCGGCUCACUGGAUCUCUUCUGACGCUGAGGCACGAAAGCUAGGGUAGCGAACGGGAUUAGAUACCCCGGUAGUCCUAGCCGUAAACGAUGAGCACUG